CCUACGGGUGGCAGCAGUGGGGAAUAUUGCACAAUGGGGGAAACCCUGAUGCAGCGACGCCGCGUGAGUGAAGAAGUAUUUCGGUAUGUAAAGCUCUAUCAGCAGGGAAGAAAUAAAGUCCUUCGGACUUUGGACGGUACCUGACUAAGAAGCCCCGACUAACUACGGGCCAGCAGCCGCGGUAAUACGUCGGGGGCAAGGGGUGUCCGGAUUUAAUGGGUGGAAAGGAAGCGUAGGCGGCAGCGCAAGUCGGGCGUGUAAUCCCAGGGCUUAACCAUGGCACUGCUUGGGAUACUGUGCAGCUCGAGUGCGGGAGAGGUAAGCGGAAUUCGUGGUGUAGCGGUGAAAUGCGUAGAUAUCAGGAGGAACACCAGUGGCGAAGGCGGCUUACUGGACUGUAACUGACGUUGAGGCUCGAAAGCGUGGGGAGCAAACAGGAUUAGAUACCCCGGUAGUC
rnacentral:rRNA from 1 species